GUUUUUAUUCAAAGUUUUAAAAUACUUGAUGAACUUUUAUGAAUGGAAAUGCUUUAUACAUUCACGCAAAUUCAAGAAUUUAUUUUUCUUAUCUUUUAAGACAAUGAUAUAGGUAUUUCAAUGAUUCAAUUGGUAUCUUCUGACAUCAGUUACAUACAUAAUAAUUAUCAAACUAGGUGAUUGUUUGUGUAAGCUUUCCUAUGAGUUUGCAUAAGGCUUCUUUUUGAACCUUUUGUAAGUACUGUAUUCAGCACCUGUGUUUGCAUGGGAGGUGUAAACAAGCCAAGCCGAGCUCGAAUAGUCGAUACUCGAAGCUCGGCUUGGUUUGAAAAAUCGAAGCUUGAACUCAACCGAGCUUUGAGUUUUUGAGUUUGAGCUCGGCUCAACUCAAGCUCGAGCUAUUUGACAGUUUGACUAAGCUCGAUAGACAAAUUCUUUCCUCAUUUUUUUAAUACAAAAGUUGUACAAAUAAUAUUUUUAUAAUCAAAUAUCAUAAGCGUAAUACCCUUUCAAUUACACAAGCCCAAAUCACCUUUUCACCAUGAAUUACAAAGCCUCAAAAUAAAAUUUCAUCCUACUAAUAGAUUAGUUUCUUGCUUACAGUGAUCCAAAAAUAUACUUCGUGCCUGAUUGUUGGGCAGAUAUCAAUUUGAAUAACAAAUACCUGGAAAAAAAAAAAGAGAAGACAGAUUAUUGAUUAUAAUGAAAAGUUAUGCAACCUAAAUCAGAAAAUACACAAGUUACUAUUAACAAGUAGUAGCAUUAAUAGCAGCAAAAACACAAUCAAAAGGCCCUCAUCAACACCAAUGAAAAAAAUAAAGUUUUUUUACAAUAAUUACUUUGUAAACCCGACAUUAAUGCAGCAAAAAACAUGAAGCAUACAUUAUCUUAAAUAGCCAAAAAGAAAAAAAAAACCAACAAAUCAUAAUUUGAAUAAAAAACUUAAAAGAUAAAUGAAAACAACUUAAUAAUAGUGACCACUUAUGCAACCAAAAAAAUAAAAAAUCAUACAUAAGUUAUCAUCUUAAUAGGACCAACAAAGAAUUAAAGUUUUUAUACAAUAAUUAGACUAUUAAUCUGGCAUUGAUUCAGCAAAAACACUUUGAGCAAAUCAUCUUAAUAGCAAAAAAAAAAAAAAACACUUGGAUUGAAAACCCUGUAAAGGGAAUACACCUUGUUAGUCCAACAAAUCCACCAAGAAAACAGGAAGAAUCAUGGUGCUCUGAAAUCAUAAAUGUCUUCAACUUAACUCCAUCGUUAGAUUCAUACAACAAAUAAAA